UCGAGCGGUACAUGCUUCUCACUAUCUUCUUCUCUUUCUUCGAGACAGGGUUGAUUUUAUUUAUAAAAUCAACAUCCAAAACGAGGGAGGAACGCUUUUAAAGCAAAGAGAAGGAAGUGGUGAGAAGUGAUGACGAGCGGCGGACGGCUGAGUAACGCGUGGGAACAUGCCCCAAAGUGAGGAAUAAGCCCGAGAAAUCGGGUCUAAUGCCGCAUAUGAUCUUAGGAUUAAAGGAUUUAUCCGCUUUGGGAGUGGCCCGCGUUCGAUUAGGUAGUUGGUGAGGUAAAGGCUCACCAAGCCCACGAUCGAUAACUGGUCUGAGAGGAUGAUCAGUCAGACUGGAACUGAGAUACGGUCCAGACUCCUACGGGAGGCAGCAGUGAGGAAUCUUCCACAAUGGGCGAAAGCCUGAUGGAGCGACGCCGCGUGCAGGAUGAAGGCCUUCGGGUUGUAAACUGCUUUUAUAAGUGAAGAAUAUGACGGUAACUUAUGAAUAAGCACCGGCUAACUACGUGCCAGCAGCCGCGGUCAUACGUAGGGUGCAAGCAUUAUCCGGAGUGACUGGGCGUAAAGAGUUGCGUAGGUGGUUUAUUAAGUGAAUGGUGAAAUCUGACGGCUCAACCGUACAGACUAUUAUUCAAACUGGUAAACUCGAGAAUGGUAGAGGUAACUGGAAUUUCUUGUGUAGGAGUGAAAUCCGUAGAUAUAAGAAGGAACACCAAUGGCGUAGGCAGGUUACUGGACCAUUUCUGACACUGAGGCACGAAAGCGUGGGGAGCGAACCGGAUUAGAUACCCGGGUAGUCCACGCCGUAAACUAUGGAUACUAGCUGUUGGAG
rnacentral:rRNA from 1 species